rnacentral:rRNA from 1 species
AUUGAACGCUGGCGGCAUGCCUUACACAUGCAAGUCGAACGGCAGCGGGGGAGAAGCUUGCUUUUCCUGCCGGCGAGUGGCGAACGGGUGAGUAAUACAUCGGAACGUGCCCUGUAGUGGGGGAUAACUAGUCGAAAGAUUAGCUAAUACCGCAUACGACCUGAGGGUGAAAGUGGGGGACCGCAAGGCCUCAUGCUAUAGGAGCGGCCGAUGUCUGAUUAGCUAGUUGGUGGGGUAAAGGCCUACCAAGGCGACGAUCAGUAGCUGGUCUGCGAGGACGAUCAGCCACACUGGGACUGAGACACGGCCCAGACUCCUACGGGAGGCAGCAGUGGGGAAUUUUGGACAAUGGGCGUAAGCCUGAUCCAGCAAUGCCGCGUGUGUGAAGAAGGCCUUCGGGUCGUAAAGCACUUUUGUCCGGAAAGAAAUGGCUCUGGUUAAUACCUGGGGUCGAUGACGGUACCGGAAGAAUAAGGACCGGCUAACUACGUGCCAGCCGCCGCGGUAA